AGCAACGCACAUCAGCAUGAACAAACGAACACCCUUUGAUUCCUUCAACCUCAAUUCUUACUUUGAAAAACUGAAAACUAAGAACAAACAACACGAAAUCAAACAGAAGCUAUGAAAAAUCUCAAAUCUAGAAUAAUCAUUAUCCUCGAAAUCUUAUAAACUGAAUUCAUCGUCAUCGAAUCGAGUUGCAAACCGAAGACGAGUUGUAACCAAAUCGUGUUUUGCACGCAAAAUCGAAGAGAAUCAUAGAUGAAUGGUGGAUUUUGUUAAUGCACGUUGAUUGAAGCAAGAAAUGGAAGAUUUACCAGAUUGAAGCUCCGAUGCGGUGGCUCUCCGGCGAAUCGCAGGUCUUAAGCAAGUCAUGACGUGGACUUAUAGUUGGCAAGGCAAGACGCAAGAAUUGCCUAAAUUCAAAGCAUAAUGACCAAAGUUGCAAAAAUGGAAUUUUCUUCGUUGUGAAGUAACAUGGGAGCUUAUGGAAUCAAGCAUGGAUGGAGAUGUACUCAACAUUAGGUUUAGGAUGGAGAAAUGCAAAGGUUGACUUUGAUCAACUAUUUGACUAAAAAGUCUUAAGCAAGUCAUGACGUGGACUUAUAGUUGGCAAGACAAGGCAAGAUGCAAGAAUUGCCUAAAUUCAAAGCAUAAUGACCAAAGUUGCAAAAAUGGAAUUUUCUUCGUUGUGAAGUAACAUGGGAGCUUAUGGAAUCAAGCAUGGAUGGAGAUGUACUCAACAUUAGGUUUAGGAUGGAGAAAUGCAAAGGUUGACUUUGGUCAACUAUUUGACUAAAAAG